rnacentral:lncRNA from 1 species
UUUAAUUUAUUUGCUGGAUCUGACACCAUGCAACUUUUGGCUCUUCCACAGGAGUGGAGUGAUGGUGAAAAGUGAACAUUUUGACUUGCUCCAGGAUAUCAAGUCAGCCACGACAAUGCAACUGAAGAUACUCACGAAAGAGGACUUCCAGAGCUGCUUCAGAAAGUGACAAGAAUGGUGGGAUGCACGUGGUCAAAGUCGGGAGGAGCAUUUUGAGAUACUAAAUUGAUGUCUGCAAAUGAAAAUGCUUCCUUCAAAAAGCAUAUCCAAGAAUUGAAAAAGACAGAGACUGCUUUGCCUCAAACUGAGAGUAUCCCGCAGCCAGAAGCCAACAGAAGGAGUACUCAGCAUUUCCUCACACUCAUAUGGAUGCAAACCUUGCUGCCCUGAAUGCUGGGCUCAGAGAGACCACCGCACCUCUACCCCCAGACUCCAUAGCGAGAGGUUAUACUUCUUCAACAAAUGAUAGUGAGGAGCAGACAAGGGGCAGGCCCUUGUCGACUCAGAGGGAUGAGGCAGAGGCAGCUCCUGGAGACUCCCUGCUGCCAAGGACUGAGACCCAUCUGGCAACCAAGAGUGCUGGUUCUUCAAGCAGCUCUGCCAUGUCCUUCCUGUGAUUUUGAGACCCUGAGCCCAAGCCCCGACCUCCUUUUUUAUGGAGGCCAUCUCAGGAGCUAUGGACAUAAUGAAGGUGGAGGGGACACAAUGUGCUAAGGAAUUUCAGAGCAAAAAAGAUGACUUCUCUCCCCUCAGUCUACCAAUAUUCUUCUUGUGUUGCUCCCACCAAGCAAGAGACAACUCCCACAGCUUGCUGUCUCACAUACACCCUCCUGCUCCUGCCUGCCUCUGAGGCUGCACUCUGCCUUUCUGACUGUUACCAGGAGAAACUCUUCAUGAUGGGCUGUUUCCCUCAACUACAGCAUCUACCAUUGCUAAACUGUGCCCAUCCAUGACUGUCUCUCUCUCACUGGACUGGGAGCAUCCUGAGGCCAGUGAUUGUCUCUUGCUCUUCCUGCAUGGUCUGGCAUCUCCCAAAAGCUGAGCAAAGGCUGCUUACCUGGGUGAAUUCAUGGGGAAAUGAUCCUGAGCAGCUUGAUGCCUCCUGUGACUGUAAAGAGCAGCACUGUUCUCUGUACCCACAAGAAGACCUGGACCUAAUGUUGAGAACUUCUGCAGCAGUGACUUGGGAGAGUUUGUUGCAAAAUACAGUGCUCACGCAGAACAAAAAUAAACAUAUAAUGUAGUCAUAUGCCACUGAAUGACAUUUCAGUCAGUGUCAGCCUGCAUUUAUAGCAGUAAUAUAAAAGGCAUAUAAAAUUGCAAUGAAGCCAGAAAAUUCCUUUUGCCUAAUGAUGUCAUAUGUAGUGGUGCUGGCAUAAAUAGACCUCUUGCACUGUUGGUCAUAUAAAUGUAUUUGUGCAGAUACAAUACUUGACAGUAAUAACACUACUCCAUUGUGUAUUGGGAUCUUGGAUAUAGGGUUUUCUAUAUAAACUAUAUCUUGUAAUUAUUUUAGAGGUUACUUCUACUUAUAAAUAUGUUUUCUGUAAAUAGUACGCCAUGUUAUGCUGGAAAUUAUCCCAUUUAUACUGUGUUUUACCAAGAUUCUUAAUAGCAUUGUUUUCUGUUUUGCUCAUCUUGUAUCUAGGAGAAAUAUGUUUUGUAGGCAAGGUACAAGUCUGGCUGGGACAAGUGCACCGCAUGUCUCCUAGCACACUAGUAGAGGCCAAGCUCGUGCAUUGAGCCUUGUCUACGUCCAGCUGUGGCCUCACCUGUCCACCCUAGUUGGGUGCCUCCAUCACCCGUCCAAGGACACUCCAGUAACCAAUCCUGUUAAGCCAAAUAUAUUGCUCCCCCUUUGCCACUCCCUCUUUCAAAACUUUAUAAAUUGCUGGCUGAACUUAUUAAAAGUGGAAGCGUUCCAGAAACCUCCCCAGAGUCUGCUUGGUGAUUCUGGGCCUUACUCUCCCAGUCCGAGUUCCUGAACCUUUGUUCCAGACAAAAACUACAAUGUUUCAUAUAGCCUAGAUGUGUGUUAGGCUAUACUCUCUAGGUUCAUGAGUACACACAGCGACAAAAUCACAUAAGGACACCUUUCUCAGAACUUCUUCCUGUUAGCAACACAUGACUAUGCAGUUUCAUUUUAGAGCAAACCCCAUGUCACCAUCAUUCAGGGGAAAGGAAAUGUUGACAAAACUCUUCAAUUACAAUCCUUUUCGUCUUCUACAGAAGUAAACCAUGAUUCUGAUUUAUUUUCAUUAUGAGUAUUCUUUCAAUUAUGACCUCUGUGUUCAUAGCUAAGAAUACAAUUUAGUUUUGCUCAUUUUUAAGCUUUGUGUAGCUGGGCUCACACUACACCAUACUGAAUUUUAAUUGUUUUGCUCAACACUGUAUGAGAUUUCUCUGUACUCUUGAAGGGAUAUGUAGUUUCUUCAUUUUCAAUUGGUGUAUAGUGGUACAUUUUCUGAACAUUUCACAAGUUAAAGAAAUGCUGUUAUGCUGUAUUGCAGAGGACAGGCCUUCACUGUGAUAAUGUAAAGUGUUUCCCAAAGUAGCUGUACUAGCAAACACUCUCACUAUCAGUGUGUGAGAGCUCUUGCUGCCCCACACCCUCACCUUGGUAUUGUCAGACUUUCCCAUUUUAGCUCAUCAGUGUCGAGUGGCGUCUAUUGUUGUAACUUGCAUUUCUCUUACUAAAGAAGUUGACACUGUUUCUUAUAUUUACUGGAUAUUUACAUACUCUUUCUUGUAAAACAUUUUGCUCAUUUUUCUAAUGGCUGGAUCAUCUCUUUUUAUUGAUUUGAAGUAAUUAUAUAUAUGCUGGCUCUAAGUCCUGAAUCCUUUAGUUGGCUACAUGCAUUGCAUAACUUCUCUCAGUCUGUACCUUGUCUCUUUUUGUUAUCUUUUGAUGAACAGGGACUCUAUAAAGCUGCCAAUGUUAUCUAUUUUUUCUAUAGAUUUAGAGCUUUUCAAUUCUGUUUAAAAAAUAUUUUCCUGCCCCAAGAUCAAAACAAGCAAAAUUGAAUUAUCAUCUCCUAUAUAGUUUUACAGUGUUGACUUAUAAAUUUAGCUGUUUAAUGAGAUUGGUUUUGGUGUUUCCUUGAGUUAAAAUGGCAAGUUCCAUUUUCUGACAUGUGGAUACCAGACAUUCCAAUACCAUAAUGUCCAUCUUCCAUAAUGAUCUACAGUAGCAUUCCUGCAUUUAUCAAUUAUCUAUAUAUUAAAGAUUUUUUUCUGAGUUGUGUAUUCUGUUUGCUUGGUUCAUAUGUCUGUGUCUUAAUAACUUACCUAUCUGCAUUCUUACCUUAUGACUUUAGCCUUAUUAUAUUGAUGCUUGUCAAUGUUAUUAAGAACUUUAUACUAAUGUUUCUAUUUCUUUCCACAAAAGGGUUUAUUUAAUAACAUAACCUACAGUUAAUAAGUAUGGAAGACCUGUCAGUAUAUUUUUGGUACUUCUAUAACUCAUUCAAAACACUUCUGGGGAGGGAGCAGGACAGAGGAUGGCUGACAGGUUUAGGGGUACAUUUUGAAAGGAGAAAUAAAUUCUAAUUUUUUUAGUACAGUAGAAUAAUCAUGGUUGACAACAGUUAAUCACAUAUUUCAAGAUAGCUAGUAAGACAUUUUGAAUGUUCUAACACAAAAAAAUGAUAUUUGCAGUGAUGAAUAUGCCAAUUACCCUGAUUACAUAUUUUACCUGUUUUGAAAUGUCACCCUGUACUCCAUAAAUGUAUUCAAUUAUUAUUUUCC